AGGGAUUCCCCUAGUAGUGGCGAAUGAAGCGGGAAAAGCUCAAGUUUGAAAUCCGAAGUUUACUUCAGAGUUGUAAGCUGAAGAGGUGUCGACCGACCUGGUCCGGGCCCAAUUUCCUUGGAACAGGAGGUCAUGGAGGGUGAGGACCCCGUCUGUGGCUCGGGUGCUGUGGUCCUUGUGUCAUGCCCUCGAAGAGUCGGGUUGUUUGAGAAUGCAGCUCAAAAUGGGUGGUAAAUUUCAUCUAAGGCUAAAUAUUGGCGAGAGACCGAUAGCAAACAAGUAGAGUGAUCGAAAGAUGAAAAGUACUUUGAAAAGAGAGUGAAACAGUACGUGAAAUUGUUGAAAGGGAAGCGUUUGGCAUCAG
rnacentral:rRNA from 1 species